GAUGAACGCUGGCGGCGUGCUUAACACAUGCAAGUCGAACGGUGAAGGCGGAGCUUGCCCUGCUGGAUCAGUGGGGAACGGGUGAGUAAAACGUGAGCAAUCUGUCCCUGACUCUGGGAUAAGACCUGGAAACGGCGUCUCAUACUGGGUACAAGCUUCUAAGGCAUCUUGUGCAGCUGUAAAGAACGUCGGUCCUGGCUGAUAUGGAUGCUUAUCAGCUUGUUGGUCAGGUAGCGACGCACGAAGGCGUCGACGGGUAGCCGGCCUGGGAGGGUGACCGGCCACACUGGGACUGAGACACGGCCCAGACUCCUACGGGAGGCAGCAGUGGGGAGUAUUGCACAAUGGGCGCAAGCCAGAGGCGGCGGCGCUGCGUUCGUAACGACGGCCUUCUAGUUGUAAACCUCUUUGAGCAGGGAAGAAGCGAAAGUGACGGUACCUGCAGAAAAAGCGCCGGCUAACUACGUG
rnacentral:rRNA from 1 species